UGCACCAUGUCUUUGUCUUAGUAUCUACAAUUGCUCCUAGCGUAAGCAGCGGUCAACCGGCAAUUAGUAGCCGUGCGAUUAAGUUUCUGUAUGUAUCAGAGAUAAGACUCUAAAGAAAGACGACAAAUCUAAUCAAAAUCUACCUCGAUAGUUUGAAGAUGUGAUGCUGGUAAAGAAAAGUGAAGCUAAAAAAAACCUACAAGGUACUAAAUGUAGAAGUAGUGGAGACUAGGUACGGUUGUGCUAGGGUACAGUAGUGACAGUCAUCACAGCAACUAAACCACACUGUUUUUGAGAUAAAGGUCCAAAGGAAAAAAGAUGAAGUAUGAUUAUUCGAACAAGUAGAAAUGUUGAACAUGUAAAGAUAAAUCUGACUGAACUAAAACAAAAUACGAAAAAAGGGAAAGAGAAAUGGAAAAGCA